CAGCAGCCGCGGUAAUACGAGGGGGGCAAGCGUUGUUCGGAAUUAUUGGGCGUAAAGGGCGCGUAGGCGGUUUGGCAAGUUUGGUGUGAAAUCUUCGGGCUCAACUCGAAGUCUGCACCGAAAACUGCCGGGCUUGAGUAUGGGAGAGGUGAGUGGAAUUUCCGGUGUAGCGGUGAAAUGCGUAGAUAUCGGAAGGAACACCUGUGGCGAAAGCGGCUCACUGGACCAUUACUGACGCUGAGGCGCGAAAGCUAGGGGAGCAAACAGGAUUAGAGACCCCCGUAGUCCCUGUCUCUUAUAC
rnacentral:rRNA from 1 species